UGUAGCAAUACACAGUGGCGAACGGGUGAGUAAUGAAUCGCUAAUGUACCCCGGACUCUGGGAUAGCUAUCCGAAAGGGUAGGUAAUACCAGAUGAUAUGCAGCUAUCGCAUGAUAGUUGCCUCAAAGGUCCGCCGGUCUGGGAGCAGGCGAUUUCGUAUCAGCUAGUUGGUGAGGUAACGGCUCACCAAGGCUAUGACGCGUAGCCGGACUGAGAGGUUGGCCGGCCACAUUGGGACUGAGACACUGCCCAGACUCCUACGGGGGGCUGCAGUAACGAAUCUUCCGCAAUGCACGAAAGUGUGACGGAGCGACGCCGCGUGUAGGAUGAAGCCCUUCGGGGUGUAAACUACUGUCAGGGGUUAGAAAGUUCUGAUCAACCCCAGAGGAAGGCACGGCUAACUCUGUGCCAGCAGCCGCGGUAAGACAGAGGUGCCAAGCGUUAGGCGGAAUCACUGGGCUUAAAGCGUGUGUAGGCGGAUGCCUAAGUAUCUUGUGAAAUCCCACGGCUCAACCGUGGAACUGCUUGAUAUACUGUGUGUCUUGAGCCAUCUAGGGGCUACCGGAACAAAUGGUGGAGCGGUGAAAUGCGUAGAUAUCAUUUGGAACGCCAAUGGUGAAAACAGGUAGCUGGGGAUGUGCUGACGCUGAGACACGAAAGCCAGGGGAGCAAACGGGAUUAGAUACCCCGGUAGUCCUGGCCCUAAACGAUGUCCACUAGAUCGUAGCAGCUCUGACGUUGUUAUGGUCGAAGCAAAAGUGCUAAGUGGACCGCCUGGGAAGUACGGUCGCAAGGCU
rnacentral:rRNA from 1 species